rnacentral:rRNA from 1 species
AACGAACGCUGGCGGCAUGCCUAACACAUGCAAGUCGAACGAGACCUUCGGGUCUAGUGGCGCACGUGUGCGUAACGCGUGGGAAUCUGCCCUUGGGUUCGGAAUCACAGUUGGAAACGACUGCUAAUACAGGAUGAUGACGUACGGCCAAAGAUUUAUCGCUCAAGGAUGAGCCCGCGUAGGAUUAGCUAGUUGGUGAGGUAAAGGCUCACCAAGGCGAGGAUCCUUGGCUGGUCUGUGAGGAUGAUCAGCCACAAUGGGACUGAGACACGGCCUAGACUGCUACGGGAGGCAGCAGAGGGUAACAUUGGACAAGGGGCGAAAGCCUGAUACAGCAAUGCCGCGGGAGUGAUGAAGGCCUUAGGGUUGUAAUGCUGUUUUACCCGGGACGUGAAUGACAGUACCGGGAGAAUAAGCUCCGGCUAACUCCGUG